GUCAAAGUUGGGAAGCUUCUCAAGGUUACUACAUCCAUCCAAAUUCAAGACAUCAAGUUCAGUAAGAUUUCCAAUAGAUGAGUGGAUAUUUUUCAAUUUCUCACACUUUGAAAGGUUUAAAUACUUCAAAUUUGGCAUCAUAGCAAAAUUUGGAGUUUCUAACAAAGAGCUACAAGAUGUAAGAUCCAAAUGGGUAAUGUUCUUUAUUUCCUGAAUGAGAAGAAUGAGAUUUGUCAAAUUCACCAAAACUCUUAAAUUAAAUAUUUUU